rnacentral:snRNA from 1 species
AUAUUUACCUUGCAGGGGAGACACCAUGAUCACAAAGGUGGUUUUCCCAGGAUGAGGCUCAUCCAUUGCACUCCGGAUGUGCUGACCCCUGCGAUUUCCCCAAAUGCGGGAAACUCGCCUGCAUAAUUUGUGGUAGUGGGGGACUGCAUUCGCGCUUUCCCCUG